rnacentral:rRNA from 1 species
CAGGCCUAACACAUGCAAGUCGAGCGGUAGCACAGAGAGCUUGCUCUCGGGUGACGAGCGGCGGACGGGUGAGUAAUGUCUGGGAAACUGCCUGAUGGAGGGGGAUAACUACUGGAAACGGUAGCUAAUACCGCAUAAUGUCGCAAGACCAAAGUGGGGGACCUUCGGGCCUCAUGCCAUCAGAUGUGCCCAGAUGGGAUUAGCUAGUAGGUGGGGUAACGGCUCACCUAGGCGACGAUCCCUAGCUGGUCUGAGAGGAUGACCAGCCACACUGGAACUGAGACACGGUCCAGACUCCUACGGGAGGCAGCAGUGGGGAAUAUUGCACAAUGGGCGCAAGCCUGAUGCAGCCAUGCCGCGUGUGUGAAGAAGGCCUUCGGGUUGUAAAGCACUUUCAGCGGGGAGGAAGGCGUUAAGGUUAAUAACCUUGGCGAUUGACGUUACCCGCAGAAGAAGCACCGGCUAACUCCGUGCCAGCAGCCGCGGUAAUACGGAGGGUGCAAGCGUUAAUCGGAAUUACUGGGCGUAAAGCGCACGCAGGCGGUCUGUCAAGUCGGAUGUGAAAUCCCCGGGCUCAACCUGGGAACUGCAUUCGAAACUGGCAGGCUAGAGUCUUGUAGAGGGGGGUAGAAUUCCAGGUGUAGCGGUGAAAUGCGUAGAGAUCUGGAGGAAUACCGGUGGCGAAGGCGGCCCCCUGGACAAAGACUGACGCUCAGGUGCGAAAGCGUGGGGAGCAAACAGGAUUAGAUACCCUGGUAGUCCACGCCGUAAACGAUGUCGAUUUGGAGGUUGUGCCCUUGAGGCGUGGCUUCCGGAGCUAACGCGUUAAAUCGACCGCCUGGGGAGUACGGCCGCAAGGUUAAAACUCAAAUGAAUUGACGGGGGCCCGCACAAGCGGUGGAGCAUGUGGUUUAAUUCGAUGCAACGCGAAGAACCUUACCUGGUCUUGACAUCCACAGAACUUAGCAGAGAUGCUUUGGUGCCUUCGGGAACUGUGAGACAGGUGCUGCAUGGCUGUCGUCAGCUCGUGUUGUGAAAUGUUGGGUUAAGUCCCGCAACGAGCACAACCCUUAUCCUUUGUUGCCAGCGGUUAGGCCGGGAACUCAAAGGAGACUGCCAGUGAUAAACUGGAGGAAGGUGGGGAUGACGUCAAGUCAUCAUGGCCCUUACGACCAGGGCUACACACGUGCUACAAUGGCAUAUACAAAGAGAAGCGACCUCGCGAGAGCAAGCGGACCUCAUAAAGUAUGUCGUAGUCCGGAUUGGAGUCUGCAACUCGACUCCAUGAAGUCGGAAUCACUAGUAAUCGUAGAUCAGAAUGCUACGGUGAAUACGUUCCCGGGCCUUGUACACACCGCCCGUCACACCAUGGGAGUGGGUUGCAAAAGAAGUAGGUAGCUUAACCUUCGGGAGGGCGCUUACCACUUUGUGAUUCAUGACUGGGGUGAAGU